rnacentral:lncRNA from 1 species
UGUGUGGUGCACCACAGCUCGGGCUAGCCUCUCGCUUUUGUGUGUGUUUUGGGGCAGUGGGGUGUUCGCACCUCCUCCCAAGCACACACCCCUUGCUGUGCUGUAACCGUUGAGUCCGGAUCCGGGCGGGCAAAAUUCCCUCGUGUUUGAACGUGGGUGAGCUCAGUCGCAUGGGGACUUAGCUGGUGCUUCACAGCCGGGGGAAGUGACGCUCUAGGCAUCUACCCUUUUGUUAAAAAUGCAUGUGAUGGGGGAGCA